CCACAUCCCUCGCAAUUCCCAAACCUACAUAUAUAUUCUUCUUUUCUUUUUCUCUCUCAUCUCUCUCUCUAUCUUCAAAUUCCAUAACCCCCUCAAACAACAUACCUUAAAACCUUUUCCUCAUAUACCAUAUUAAUAUUCAUCACUGCUCCUUAUCCUUCUUCUUUUCCUUUUUCUGGAUGAUUUGAUCUGAUUUAAUUUGAAUUGGAUCUCACUUUCACUUCAAAUCUUUUCUUUUUUCUUUUUUCUUUUCGAUAAAUAAUGGAAAGUCAUCAUCUCCAUCAUCAUCAUCAUCAACAACAAUACCCACCGCCACAACGUCAUAAUAUUAGUGCAGCAACAACAACGAGUGCAGGAACUAAUAACAACGUUGUGAUUGUUGAUGUGACAGGAGAUAGUAGGUUCCCUCAAUGGAGCAUCCAAGAAACAAAGGAGUUCCUAAUGAUCCGUGCGGAGCUGGAUCAGACUUUCAUGGAGACAAAGAGGAACAAGCAGCUCUGGGAAGUCAUCUCCAACACCAUGAAAGAAAAGGGUUACCAUCGAAGCGCUGAGCAGUGCAAGUGCAAGUGGAAAAACCUUGUUACCCGUUAUAAGGGAUGUGAAACGAUGGAGGCAGAAGCAAUGAGGCAGCAAUUCCCAUUCUACAACGAGCUUCAAGCUAUCUUCACCGAUAGAAUGCAGAGGAUGCUUUGGGCCGAAACAGAAGGCGGAGGCGGAGGAGGAGGUUCUUCUAAUAACAAGAAGAAAGCUGCGACAGCGCAGCUGUCUUCGGACGACGAAGAAGAGGAAGAGAGCGAAUUAGGAGAUCCUCAACAAAAGAAUGUAAAGAGAAAGAAAAGAUUAAAGAAGGUUAAGAGGGUGGAAGAUAGUGGUGGUGCGAGUAAUUUGAAGCAUCUGAAGGGGAUUCUGGAGGAGUUUAUGAGGCAACAGAUGGAGAUGGAGGCGCAAUGGAUGUCCGUGUUCGAGGCGAGGGAGAAUGAUCGGAGGUUGAAGGAGUUGGAAUGGAGGCAGACAAUGGAGGCUUUGGAGAAUCAGAGGAUGAUGAUGGAGCAGAGAUGGAGGGAGAGUGAAGAACAAUGGAGGAUUAGGGAAGAAGCUAGGGCUCAUAAGAGAGAUGCUCUUAUCACUGCACUUCUCAACAAGCUUUCAAGACAACAAGAUCAAUAACCAACUUAGUUAGUUAGAGUUAGUUAUCUUUGUUGGUUAGAACUAACUUCCUUUUCAUACUGUGUUUAUGCUACUGAAUUCUCAUGAUGAUGAUGAUGAUGAAGCAAAGCUUAAUUUGACACAUUAUGGAGCUAGCUGAUUCGGUUGUUGCAUGAAAAGAGAUAUUCCAAAUGGUUUGACAUUGACAUGUGCAUGUGAUGAGAUAUCAGAGCUCACACAAUCAUAAGAGUUGAAAAUCCUUUGCCUCAGAUUCUGUGUAUGGAAGUUAUGGAAUGCCAAAAAAAUAUGGGAAGCUCAACACAUUUGAGAGGUUAAGGGAGAUUGAUCGGCCGCGAUCUGAUGUGGUUCUGGAAGCAAAUUGGCCAAUCUUUAAAUUGUAUUCUUAUAUCGUUACUAACCAGAUUUUCAACGAGUGUUACCAGAUUUUGUUCAAAACAACAUUUUAAAUUCAAAAAUUAAUGUUAAAAAACAAUGACCAUAUUCAACGAUUAUAGUGGAGUUGUUCCAAAAAUUACCAACAGAAAUGAUGGAGACAUUAUUAGAAACAAACCUUGUGGUAGCAAUACGACACAAACCGAAGGAGAUCGGCCGUGGUCUGAAUCCUUAACAAAGAAUAGAGGCAAUCUGAGAUGGGAGAAAGUAUUGAUAAAGAAAUAAAAUAUAAAUAAGAAGAUAGGUAUCAAACAGAAUAAAAAAAAAAAUAAAUUGAAAUUAAAAUAGAAAUAAAAAGAAUAAAUUAAAAUUAAGUACAAAGAGAAUUACUCUACUUAUACUAAAUUUUUUAAUACAACAAAAAAUGAACUCCUCAAUUUAAUUUGUCAAUAUUAUAGUUUGGGAAUUGAUUCGAAGGAACUCCUCGACCUUCUACUUAAUUCUCCGAUGCAAUAAGAGAGGAACUCAAUUGUCUACAUCAUGGUUUCAUCACGAAACUAAAAUGAAAUUUUUAAACCUCUAAAUCAUUCUAUACUAUGGCUACAAUAACUAAAGAACCUCUUAUUAGAUUAAAAUAAAGAAAACUUCAAGUAUGACAAGUUCCACCACCGGAAUUGUCAAACCUGUGGACUACUGUCAUGAAUGAAGAAGAGAGCUAGCAUAGUAGAGUUGCCAUUGGCACCUCCGAGUUGGUGAAGGAUGACAAUAAUGACUCAGAUUUGAGGUGACUCUGAGACGACAACAAAGCCAAAAGCAGUGCCGAGGUUGGCGUUGAUGAACGGUGGAGAUCCAUUCCGUCGCGUCCCUCCUAUUUAGCCAAGCCACCACCACUUACGCCAACUUUGGAUCAACUCAUUGUGUUUGAUUUUUGUUUGUGGGCUUCAAUUUUUUCAAUAGGAUCCCAGAAGAAUUUUAAAUUUUAGUAGUAGAAUAGAAAUAAAAUAACAAAUAUUUUUUGAGAAUUUAUUGUUGUUAAUUAUAAUUAGGUUAUAUA